CUGCACUGAGGGCACCGCCAGUCCGCGAGUUUCGCGCACUGGCGCGAUUUUC
rnacentral:sRNA from 1 species